AAUGAACGCUGGCGGCAGGCCUAACACAUGCAAGUCGAACGCUCCGCAAGGGGAGUGGCGCACGGGUGAGUAACGCGUGGGAAUAUGCCCUUCGGUUCGGAAUAACACAGGGAAACUUGUGCUAAUACCGGAUACGAUCUACGGAUGAAAGAUUCAUCGCCGAAGGAGUAGCCCGCGUAGGAUUAGCUUGUUGGUGAGGUAAUGGCUCACCAAGGCGACGAUCCUUAGCUGGUCUGAGAGGAUGAUCAGCCACACUGGGACUGAGACACGGCCCAGACUCCUACGGGAGGCAGCAGUGGGGAAUAUUGGACAAUGGGCGAAAGCCUGAUCCAGCCAUGCCGCGUGAGUGAUGAAGGCCUUAGGGUUGUAAAGCUCUUUCGUCGGGGAAGAUAAUGACGGUACCCGGAAAAGAAGCCUCGGCUAACUCCGUGCCAGCCGCCGCAGUAAUAC
rnacentral:rRNA from 1 species